CGCAGGGAACGGGUGAUCGCCGGUGGUCCGCAAGGCACCACUGGAGGAAAGUCCGGGCUCCAUGAGGCAUGAUGCUGGCUAACGGCCAGGCACGGCGGUGGCGACGCUUUCGUGACGGACAGUGCAACAGAAAAUAGACCGCCGGGCCCGCAAGGGCCGGGUAAGGGCGAAACGGUGGGGUAAGAGCCCACCGGGCGUUCGGUGACGAACACCGCAGGGCAAACCCCAUCAGGAGCAAGAUCAAAUAGGGAAACGUUCGAGGCAGCCUCGCCAAGCCGCAACAUCACAAGUGGUGCGCGCGUUUUCGGGUAAGAUCGCUAGAGCCUGCCGGUAACGGCGGGCCCAGAGGAAUGGUCAUCUCGGCAUUUGUUUUCGGAUGAAUGUUAGGACAGAACCCGGCUUACAGUUCCAGACGAGCU
rnacentral:RNase_P_RNA from 1 species